GAUGAACGCUGGCGGCGUGCCUAAUACAUGCAAGUCGAGCGAACGGACGAGAAGCUUGCUUCUCUGAUGUUAGCGGCGGACGGGUGAGUAACACGUGGAUAACCUACCUAUAAGACUGGGAUAACUUCGGGAAACCGUAGCUAAUACCGGAUAAUAUUUUGAACCGCAUGGUUCAAAAGUGAAGACGGUCUUGCUGUCACUUAUAGAUGGAUCCGCGCUGCAUUAGCUAGUUGGUAAGGUAACGGCUUACCAAGGCAACGAUGCAUAGCCGACCUGAGAGGGUGAUCGGCCACACUGGAACUGAGACACGGUCCAGACUCCUACGGGAGGCAGCAGUAGGGAAUCUUCCGCAAUGGGCGAAAGCCUGACGGAGCAACGCCGCGUGAGUGAUGAAGGUCUUCGGAUCGUAAAACUCUGUUAUUAGGGAAGAACAUAUGUGUAAGUAACUGUGCACAUCUUGACGGUACCUAAUCAGAAAGCCACGGCUAACUACGUG
rnacentral:rRNA from 1 species